GGGGUUGUGGCUCAGUGGCAGAGCGCUUGCCUAGCACAUAUGAGGUCCUGGGUUCGAUCCUCAGCACCACA
rnacentral:tRNA from 1 species